rnacentral:lncRNA from 1 species
GAAAGACUUAAAAUGUUUAAUAUAUUAUUUUCUUAAUUUGUUUUACUUUCCAAAAUGUGUUAUAGAUAUGCUCAAUGAAAAAAUCUCAAUAUUUUCAUAAGAGAAAAGCAUAUCUACUUGCUCAUAUUCCAGCUUAUUUUCUANCUCAAUAUUAAAAAGUUUUCUAUGUUCCAGUUAUUUGUAAAUGGUCAGAACUAGUCUGAACACCUUAAAAACAAUUUCUUCUAGCUUGUAAGCACUUACUUCUUUUUAAAUAAACUAUCAAAUAAUUGACCCAUGAUCUGUUUCAUAAGUGCUGAUAUCUAAUUUAAAAAAAAUAAUUCUCAAAUCACAGAUUGACUCUUUACCUUGGACACUUGGGCUAUUCACUUUUACGAAGUAUGCAGUUGCUCACUUUUGUUAAUUUCUACCAGUUUGUAAAUUGAGUUAUUGUUCCAUUCAAAAGAAAAGAUAAAGAAAUUGUUAUCCUUUGUAUUGUUAAGAUCACUCAAAAUUGUUAGCUGUUGUCCUCUAAAGCCUUUCUAUAGAGUGGAGUACCUGGGCACCAGUUAUUUCACUGUCUGUGAUUGUCAGAGCGGCCCCCGUCAGAACGCACACUCCUGUUCCUUCACAUUUUAAUACACAGUUUUCUAGAGUCAUGUGACCAGACUCCACCACCACAAUACCAUCAACCGUCCCUUGUUGUAUCAAAGACAGAUGCAUUAGUUUCACAUUGUCAGCUUUGGACACCACAAAACUGUCAUGAGAAGGUUCAGAAGUAAUCAUAAUUUCCUCUCGCUUUCCAACUCCUGAUACAUAGGGACAAAAAUAUAAUUAAAUCAGUAAUCUAAAACUUUAAAGACCUUUAAUCAUUCAGUAAUACUUGUUAUUCCUUUCAUGUAUUUUAACAAGAUAGACUACUCAGUUGUUAACUAAGUAGAUAUUUAACUAGAAUGUAAUCUUUUUUUCCUAAUUUUGAUGCUGUGAUGGGAAAAUCUGGGCUUAUAAUCAAUUUAAAUGUACCUGUAAUAUUUAUUCAACAUACUAAUUCCACAAAUAGUUCCCUAAAUUUUAUAAUCAGCAGUCAUG